AGCCUUUGUGUUGCCUGUUCACUUUGGAAACUAGUGAAUGUGGUGUCAAAAAAGGCUUAAAUUAAACACUUUGUAGCCUUUCCCUGCCCUUAAAUUUGAUAUCUUUGCUGUAGGAGCUGCAUAAGUAACAGCU
rnacentral:snoRNA from 1 species